rnacentral:rRNA from 1 species
AUUGAACGCUGGCGGCAGGCCUAACACAUGCAAGUCGAACGAGUGGCGGACGGGUGAGUAAUGUCUGGGAAACUGCCUGAUGGAGGGGGAUAACUACUGGAAACGGUAGCUAAUACCGCAUACCAUCGGAUGUGCCCAGAUGGGAUUAGCUAGAAGGUGGGGAAAAGGCUCACCUAGGCGACGAUCCCUAGCUGGUCUGAGAGGAUGACCAGCCACACUGGAACUGAGACGCGGCCCAGACUCCUAGGGGAGGGAGCAGUGGGGAAUAUUGCACUAUGGGCGCAAGCCUGAUGGAGCCGCGCCGCGUGUAUGAAGAAGGCCUUCGGUGUGUAAAGUUCUUUCAGCGGGGAGGGGUUACCCGCAGAAGAAGCACGGGCUAACUCCGUGCCAGCGGCCGGGUAAUAC